rnacentral:rRNA from 1 species
UACCAGCACCCCGAGUGGUCGGGACGUUUAUUGGGCCUAAAGCAUCCGUAGCCGGUUCUACAAGUCUUCCGUUAAAUCCACCUGCUUAACAGAUGGGCUGCGGAAGAUACUAUAGAGCUAGGAGGCGGGGAGAGGCAAGCGGUACUCGAUGGGUAGGGGUAAAAUCCGUUGAUCCAUUGAAGACCACCAGUGGCGAAGGCGGCUUGCCAGAACGCGCUCGACGGUGAGGGAUGAAAGCUGGGGG